rnacentral:rRNA from 1 species
CAGUAGCACGGUAAUACGUAGGGUGCGAGCGUUAAUCGGAAUUACUGGGCGUAAAGCGUGCGCAGGCGGUUCGUUAAGACAGAUGUGAAAUCCCCGGGCUUAACCUGGGAACUGCAUCUUAUACUGCGUAGCUGGAGUGCAGUAGAGGGUAGUGGAAUUUCCGGUGUAGCGGUGAAAUGCGUAGAUAUCGGAAGGAACACCAGUGGCGAAGGCGGCUACCUGGACUGACACUGACACUGAGGCGCGAAAGCGUGGGGAGCAAACAGGAUUAGAUACCCGAGUAGUCCCUGUCUCUUAUACA